AAAUAAAUUAAGGGGACGAUAAGACCCUAUAAAGCUUGACAAUAAUUUAAUUAUACUAUCAAUUGUUAGUAUAACUUGGUUUUAAUUAAUAUUUGUUGCGUUGGGGCGACGAGAAUAUAAUAGGUAACUGUUCUUAAAUAUUUAAUAACAAAUAUAAUUGGAAAUUAGUAUGAUCCUCUAUUAGCGAUUAAAAGAUUAAGUUACUUUAGGGAUAACAGCGUAAUCUUCUUAA
rnacentral:rRNA from 1 species